rnacentral:rRNA from 1 species
GACGAACGCUGGCGGCGUGGAUUAGGCAUGCAAGUCGAACGGUAGGAUACCUUCGGGUAUCUGAGAGUGGCGAACGGGUGAGUAACACGUAGGUGAUCUACCCUCAAGAUUGGGACAACCCAGGGAAACUUGGGCUAAUACCGGAUGAAAGCAGCAGUGAUGUUGUUUGAAAGGUGGCGUAAGCUGCCGUUUGGGGAUGAGCCUGCGCUCUAUUAGUUAGUUGGCGGGUAAAGCCCACCAAGGCGAUGAUAGAUAGGCGGCCUUAACGGGUGGUCGCCCACACUGGGAUUGAGAUACGGCCCAGACUCCUACGGGAGGCAGCAGUCGAGAAUAGUCUACAAUGGUCGGAAGACUGAUAGUGCGACGCCGCGUGAACGAUGAAAUCCCUUCGGGGUGUAAAGUUCUUUUAUAUGUGAGCAGUGCUUCUUAUAUUAACAGUAUGGGGAGAGAGAUAUUAGCAUAUGAAUAAAGCAAACGGCUAAACUCCGUGCCAGCA